rnacentral:rRNA from 1 species
UAAGGAAUAUUGGUCAAUGGACGCAAGUCUGAACCAGCCAUGCCGCGUGAAGGAUGAAGGUCCUCUGGAUUGUAAACUUCUUUUAUCUGGGACGAAAACGGGAUUUUUAUCUCAAUUGACGGUACCAGAGGAAUAAGCACCGGCUAACUCCGUGCCAGCAGCCGCGGUAAUACGGAGGGUGCGAGCGUUAUCCGGAUUUACUGGGUUUAAAGGGUGCGUAGGUGGGCUUAUAAGUCAGUGGUGAAAUCUCCGAGCUUAACUUGGAAACUGCCGUUGAUACUAUAGGUCUUGAAUUAUCUGGAGGUAAGCGGAAUAUGUCAUGUAGCGGUGAAAUGCUUAGAUAUUACAUAGAACACCAAUUGCGAAGGCAGCUUACUACAUAUAAAUUGACGCUGAGGCACGAAAGCGUGGGGAUCAAACA